UCAUUUUGCAGUUUUACAUUCGUAUUUGUAUUUGAGUUUCAACUGUAAAUUGUUUUCAAGAAUUUUGUAAUAAAAAUGAAGUUUGUCUGUUAGUUUAUGUUUUGAUUGUUUCCAUUUCAAAAUUAUUCAGUGUUGUCCACGUACAAGUUGUUAUAUAAAAAUUGUUGUCCUCCUUACGAUGGCAGUACAGCAGAUCAUUCGAUACAUGCUGAGACAAGAAUUCACAUUUCUACCACUAUGCUAAAUAUCAAUAUGCUACGUUGAAAAUUGUACUAGACGGUACUGCUAAUAAUAAUGGUUUUGUGCAACGUGCGUGUAAUGGAUGGCAGUACAGCAGAUCAUUCAAUACACGCUGAGACAUGAAUUCACAUUUCUACCACUAUGCUAAAUAUCAAUAUGCUACGUUGCAAAUUGUACUGACAUUGUAUUGACGUUCAAAUAUUACAUUUAAGAUGAUACUUCAUACACACAAUAAAACAUGAUUUUACAUGAUGGCAGUACAGCAGAUCACUCGAGGCAUGCUGAGACAUGAAUUAACAUUUCUAUCACUUUGGAAAGUUACAACAUCUUCCGUUGAAAAUUGGAAUAGAAGAUGGCAGUAUAUCAGAUCAAUCGAGGCACGCUGAGACACGAAUUCACAUUUCUACCACCAAGGAAAGUAUCAACAUACUAUGUUGAAAAUGGACUAGAAGAUACUGAUAAUAAUAUUGGAUUUAUGCAAUAUGGCAGUACAGCAGAUCAUUCGAUACAUGCUGAGACAAGAAUUCACAUUUCUACCACCAUGCUAAAUAUCAAUAUGCUACGUUGAAAAUUGUACUAGACGGUACUGCUAAUAAUAAUGGUUUUGUGCAACGUGCGUGUAAUGGAUGGCAGUACAGCAGAUCAUUCAAUACACGCUGAGACAUGAAUUCACAUUUCUACCACUAUGCUAAAUAUCAAUAUGCUACGUUGCAAAUUGUACUGACAUUGUAUUGACGUUCAAAUAUUACAUUUAAGAUGAUACUUCAUACACACAAUAAAACAUGAUUUUACAUGAUGGCAGUACAGCAGAUCACUCGAGGCAUGCUGAGACAUGAAUUAACAUUUCUAUCACUUUGGAAAGUUACAACAUCUUCCGUUGAAAAUUGGAAUAGAAGAUGGCAGUAUAUCAGAUCAAUCGAGGCACGCUGAGACACGAAUUCACAUUUCUACCACCAAGGAAAGUAUCAACAUACUAUGUUGAAAAUGGACUAGAAGAUACUGAUAAUAAUAUUGGAUUUAUGCAAUAUGGCAGUACAGCAGAUCAUUCGAUACAUGCUGAGACAAGAAUUCACAUUUCUACCACCAUGCUAAAUAUCAAUAUGCUACGUUGAAAAUUGUACUAGACGGUACUGCUAAUAAUAAUGGUUUUGUGCAACGUGCGUGUAAUGGAUGGCAGUACAGCAGAUCAUUCAAUACACGCUGAGACAUGAAUUCACAUUUCUACCACUAUGCUAAAUAUCAAUAUGCUACGUUGCAAAUUGUACUGACAUUGUAUUGACGUUCAAAUAUUACAUUUAAGAUGAUACUUCAUACACACAAUAAAACAUGAUUUUACAUGAUGGCAGUACAGCAGAUCACUCGAGGCAUGCUGAGACAUGAAUUAACAUUUCUAUCACUUUGGAAAGUUACAACAUCUUCCGUUGAAAUUGGAAUAGAAGGUACUGCUAAUAUUAAUGGUUUCAUGCAACGUGCGUGUAAUGGGUAUUGAAUGUAAUCGAUAUUCAAUUAAUAGUAGUGUUACAAAAAGUUAGUGUCAUAAAACCCUAACCAUUAUAUUAAGUAAAUGGUUCUUAUUUACCAUUAUUAACUUCCAUAUAUUUCAUUUAGGCUCAUACUUGAUAAUAAACACUAUAAAACGUGCUUAUAUAUCAUAAUUUUGACUCAUAUUACAAAUUCAUAUUUUUAGCUGCUCAUAAAAAUCUCAAUUAUCAAGUCAGUGUCAUGAAACCUAGACAAUUAGAUUAAGUAAAUGAUUCUUAUUUACCAUUACUAACAUCCAUAUUUGUCAUUUAAGCUGAUACUUCAUAAACACUAUAAAACAUGUUUUUUAUAUGAUAAUAUUGACUAAUAUUACAAAUUCAUACUUUGAACUGCCUGUAAAACACUGUAUUCUCAAGCUAUUCUCCAACCGUUAUACAUUAUUAACUUAUUACAUUUUUUCAGAUGGCAGUAUAUCAGAUCAAUCGAGGCACGCUGAGACACGAAUUCACAUUUCUACCACCAAGGAAAGUAUCAACAUACUAUGUUGAAAAUGGACUAGAAGAUACUGAUAAUAAUAUUGGAUUUAUGCAAUAUGGCAGUACAGCAGAUCAUUCGAUACAUGCUGAGACAAGAAUUCACAUUUCUACCACCAUGCUAAAUAUCAAUAUGCUACGUUGAAAAUUGUACUAGACGGUACUGCUAAUAAUAAUGGUUUUGUGCAACGUGCGUGUAAUGGAUGGCAGUACAGCAGAUCAUUCAAUACACGCUGAGACAUGAAUUCACAUUUCUACCACUAUGCUAAAUAUCAAUAUGCUACGUUGCAAAUUGUACUGACAUUGUAUUGACGUUCAAAUAUUACAUUUAAGAUGAUACUUCAUACACACAAUAAAACAUGAUUUUACAUGAUGGCAGUACAGCAGAUCACUCGAGGCAUGCUGAGACAUGAAUUAACAUUUCUAUCACUUUGGAAAGUUACAACAUCUUCCGUUGAAAAUUGGAAUAGAAGAUGGCAGUAUAUCAGAUCAAUCGAGGCACGCUGAGACACGAAUUCACAUUUCUACCACCAAGGAAAGUAUCAACAUACUAUGUUGAAAAUGGACUAGAAGAUACUGAUAAUAAUAUUGGAUUUAUGCAAUAUGGCAGUACAGCAGAUCAUUCGAUACAUGCUGAGACAAGAAUUCACAUUUCUACCACCAUGCUAAAUAUCAAUAUGCUACGUUGAAAAUUGUACUAGACGGUACUGCUAAUAAUAAUGGUUUUGUGCAACGUGCGUGUAAUGGAUGGCAGUACAGCAGAUCAUUCAAUACACGCUGAGACAUGAAUUCACAUUUCUACCACUAUGCUAAAUAUCAAUAUGCUACGUUGCAAAUUGUACUGACAUUGUAUUGACGUUCAAAUAUUACAUUUAAGAUGAUACUUCAUACACACAAUAAAACAUGAUUUUACAUGGUAAUUUUAACAAAUAUUACAAAGUCAUAUUUUUAACUGCUUAUAAAACACUCAAUUCACAUGUUAGUGUCUAGAAACCUCGACUACUAGAUUAUGACAAUGAUUCUUAUUGUAUAAUGUAUACAAGUAUUACAAACUCUUAUUAUUUUAAUAUUGAAAUACAGCAAUUUUAUGUUAAUGUACAAGUGUAUUCUUUACUUAUAUUUUGUUUUACAUUAAAACUCAACAAGACAUUCUGGUAGAUUUGUACUAUCUCUUUUGUUGCUAAGCAUUAUAA